CCAGCUCUCUUUGCCUUUUGGCUUAGAUCAAGUGUAGUAUCUGUUCUUUUCAGUUUAAUCUCUGAAAGGUCUCUAUUGAGACCAAUCGUGAUUAUUCUUAUUUUUGCCCCUCGGACGGUCUCCUCUGUGCUUGCACACGAUUCCGUCCACAGUGUCCCUGGUAUUACACUGCCUCCAGGUGACGCGAACUCUU
rnacentral:snRNA from 1 species